UUACCAACAGCGGUUCUAGUUUGACAGCUGCGUUGUGGUGAAGUGAGAGAGAGGGACAGGUAGCACAGGCGAAACAAACACGGGCGAAAUAGAGAGAGUAGGAAUGGUUCUUCCCGAAGGAGCUUCGCGUGCAACGGAUGAACCUGCGCAAAUUAAGUGGAAUGACCGCAAUCGGGUUUGCGUGAAGUUUUAAAACGGGCACGAAGACGAAAAUCGACCUCUUUCUACCAUCGCGCCAAGAGAAGAAAGUUCAGUGAAUUUUUAAUACAGUUUAAUGAAAUUAAGUGAAUUAAGAAAACUGAUGUUUCAACUUUAGAUUCGCGAAAGAAAGAAAGAGCUUUGUUGCUGGACGCAACAUAAAUAAUGUGUGUGGUUUUGUGGCAAGAUUGUGUGAAGCUAUGUGUGAAAAUGCCCCUUUAGUUGCAAUAACAGUUCUAUACAGGGUUUUCGAGGAUUAUAUAGACAUGUUCAGCGAGUUGCAGAUUUGUUCAGGCAUAUGAUAGACUCUUUCAGCGAGAUAUAGAAUUGUUCGGAUAUUGUCAUAGACUUGUCUGACAGUGCUAUAGAAUUGUUCGGAUGUGUUGUAGAAUGAAGAACCGAAGCCCGUUUAUAUGUACGUGGCAAUGUCAAACGUCCAUGUCAAAGAUUGAUGUAUGUAAACAAACGAGUACAUACUCACGCAAGAGCGAUUGGAUUGUAAACCAAUUUUAAGCAAAUAUUUUGCUAAUUGUCCCACGUUUUGUACAUUCUGUGCAUCUGUAACUUUGGUUCCCAUUAGUGCGCAUAGCAAUUCACAGGUUACUGGUGCGUUUCGGUGAUCCCAAACGGAUUUGAAGACUUUGCGGUCUUGGCCUUCCUCAGGAGUGUCCGAAACCGCUAACGAUCUUGCGCCUUCGUCUGCCAGUCCGUUAUCCCGGCAUUAAUGGCGGACGCCUCCACGCCAUCUAGCCACCUCAAUUUGGGCCUACCACGCCUCCUCUGUCCUUGCGAACGGUCUAAAAAGACUUUACGGGCUGGACUAACGUGUUAACCAUAUAUAAUAUGUGUACAGUUGUUGUGAACCCCUCAAAAUGUGUUUAAAGUAAAAAAUAAAACGAGUAUAAUGCCGAAUGUUUGCGAAAAA